rnacentral:rRNA from 1 species
UUGCCAGACUCCUACGGGAGGCAGCAGUCGGGAAUAUUGCGCAAUGGAGGAAACUCUGACGCAGUGACGCCGCGUGCAGGAAGAAGGUUUUCGGAUUGUAAACUGCUUUAGACAGGGAAGAAAAAAGACAGUACCUGUAGAAUAAGCUCCGGCUAACUACGUGCCAGCAGCCGCGGUAAUACGUAGGGAGCGAGCGUUAUCCGGAUUUAUUGGGUGUAAAGGGUGCGUAGACGGGAAGUUAAGUUAGUUGUGAAAUCCCAAGGCUCAACUUUGGAACUGCAACUAAAACUAAUUUUCUUGAGUACUGGAGAGGAAAGUGGAAUUCCUAGUGUAGCGGUGAAAUGCGUAGAUAUUAGGAGGAACACCAGUGGCGAAGGCGACUUUCUGGACAGAAACUGACGUUGAGGCACGAAAGUGUGGGGAGCAAACAGGAUUAGAUACCCCGGUAAUA